AACGAACGCUGGCGGCAGGCCUAACACAUGCAAGUCGAGCGAAGCCUUCGGGCUUAGCGGCGGACGGGUGAGUAACGCGUGGGAACGUGCCCUUUGCUACGGAAUAGCCCCGGGAAACUGGGAGUAAUACCGUAUGUGCCCUUCGGGGGAAAGAUUUAUCGGCAAAGGAUCGGCCCGCGUUGGAUUAGGUAGUUGGUGGGGUAAUGGCCUACCAAGCCGACGAUCCAUAGCUGGUUUGAGAGGAUGAUCAGCCACACUGGGACUGAGACACGGCCCAGACUCCUACGGGAAGCAGCAGUGGGGAAUCUUAGACAAUGGGGGAAACCCUGAUCUAGCCAUGCCGCGUGGUCGAUGAAGGCUUUAGGGUUGUAAAGAUCUUUCAGUGGGGAAGAUAAUGACUGUACCCACAGAAGAAGCCCCGGCUAACUCCGUGCCAGCCGCCGCUGUAACAC
rnacentral:rRNA from 1 species